CCACAGCGUUGCCCUGCUUUCAAAUAACCAUAACUCUAUACACUGACAUUUGGUAGCAACUUUAUAACAUACGCUGUAUUGAACUGUCUUGUAGAAAAUUAUUAGGUAAAAGCAUUGAGAUAAGAUGAUAACCCUAGAAAAGCGACUUUUGAAUUCAUCUCAUUGGAUGAAACUCUUAUAUAAUUGCGAUAACACAUCAAGAAUCAUUGCUGCCUUAUAUUCAAACAUUAUGAAAUCAAAAUGCAUGUUUGGUGGGGUUCCUAUGUUUCAGAUAAUGUGGGCC
rnacentral:lncRNA from 1 species